rnacentral:lncRNA from 1 species
AGGGGAGGGUGGAGAGGGAGAGGGGUGGUGGGGGGACCCAGGGUGGGGGCAGAGAGGCCGAGUGUGGGCAGCAGGGACUCCGACGUCACCGAGGGAGCCCCUGAGCCCCUGGCUCAGGACUUUGGGGGCAAAGCCCUUAAGGCGGGGGCGUGGAGGCGACAGCCCGUCCACCCGGUGUCCGCGACCCCUCCCCCCCCCCCCCCCCCCCCCCCGGGCCUGCCCGCCGCGGGGUCGCCGGAGGGGGCGGGACGGUCGCGCUCACCUGCGGGGGUCGCAGUCCCUGCGCGGGUCGGACUCAGGCUUCGGGGUCGGGGUCGGGGUCGGGGAGUGGGCGGGGGUCGGGCUCCGGGUCUGGACUGGACUCCGGGUUGGGGUCCGCCUCCGGGUCGGGGUCGGGGUCGGGGUCGGGGUCGGGGUCGGGGUCGGGGUCCGGGUCCGGGUCCGUGUCGGGGUCGGGGUCUGGCUCCGGGUGAGGGUCGGGGUCGGGGUCGGGGUCGGGGUCAGGGUCGGGGUCGGGGUCAGGGUCGAGGUGGGGGUCCAGGUCGGGGUCCGAGCGCAGCGGGGUGAAGGCUGCAGCCGUUAUGCGGGAUCUCGGUGGAGCCCGGGGAGGAGGCGGUUGCGGGGGGCGAGCCGAGGGGGCGCGCCGGGGCUGCGGAUUGGCCGGAGCUUCUGCCCCGCCCCGCCCCCGCCCCUCCGGCUCGGCCCCGCCCUCUCCCCUCCCCUCCCCUCCAGUUCCUGCCCCGCCCCCGCCCUGUCCCCUCCCCUCCACCCACCCUCCUCCAUCCCUGCCGCGUCGGCCCCGCCCCUCCCCCGCCCCCGGGUGCCCACUCCAGAGGGGAGGAGCGAGGCUCUCGGGCUUGCGGCAGGUGGGCUGGCCGGCCCCUGGUUCGCAGCCUGCCGAGGUGCGUGGACCCUGGGAUUGCGCACCUGCCCGGGGCUUCGGCCUCCUGGGCUUGCAGCCGUCGGGGGUCGCCCGUCGGGGUCGUUCCGAGCCGGAGGGGGAGCGCGUGGCCUCGGAGAAGCCCCCGCGAGGUCGCGCCCCCGCCCUGGGCGCGAGCUGGACCCCGUUUGCCGGGCUCCGGCCCCGCCCCUGCGCAGCCAACGGCGCAGCCCGCCCCGCCCGCAGCCCCGCGCGCACCCGCACCCACUCGCGCCGCAGGUGCCGCGCACUGCGGGGACCCUCAGAGGGAGAGUCGGCCCGGGAGCGCGGGGAGGGCCCGGGGUGCUAUGAGGGGUGCCGGGUGCGGGUCCCACUGCUGUGGACACGAAGCUAUUGCAAUUGCGGGGGCCCCAAGGAGGGAUGUCCCCGAGGAAGGACUGAGAUUGUCCGAGGAGCAAAGGCAGACCCUGGACGGCGGGAGUGGCUGCGAGUGAGGGGUCCGCAGCCUCACAGUUGUGCACAAGCGUCAGCCAUGCCAGCCGUCUGCGCCGUGUUCGUGGUUAUAUAGAAUUCUGCUGAGCAGGAACCAACCUUCCCGAUUUACGGAGGAGGCCACCGAGGCUCAGAGAAGAUCCCGGCUGCGAGGCCCCGUGGUUAACAAGCAGGAAACAGCCUUCCCUGUUCUGGAGCCCGGGGAACCUCCCUCGUCCCCGCUGAUGGCAUUUACUCGCUGCUGCACCGACACUUAGUGGGCGCGUCUCCUUAGCAAGCAGGAGCUUCUUGAAGAGAUGAGCAUGUUAGCAAACCAUCAUAAAGUACACCGUUGCAUUUGUUAUUUAACUUUCAUACGCCUCGAAACAACCCUCUCCACUAACUCACGGGAUGGGUCUGAAGCAAAAAUUGACAAGGGAAGUAUGAGCCCGUAGCUGAGCACGUGGAUUCUGCAGCUUGACUUUUGAGGCCCAAACCCUGGUUCUGUCACCUCCUUGCUCUGUGAUCUUAGGUAGCUUAGCAUCUCUCUGCCUUUGUUUCUCUAUCUGUAAAAUGGGCUUAAUCAUAGUACUUACUUGCAAGGCUGUGUGAGGAUUAAUUGAGUCAAUAUUGAUAAAACAUUCAGAAACUGGCAUCAUAAGGGCUUACGCAACUUUUAGCCUUUCUACUUUUGUCUACACAGCAGAACAGUAUGUGGCCACGUGAUUAAACUGUGUCAAGCAGGUGGAAAGCACCAGGUGCUUCCCCUCACAGCCAGGAGCUCCUGCGGGCCGGUCUUAAUUUACUUUCCCCUUUCGACUCCUUGAUAGCUGCAGGGGUGACGGAGCAAUGACCCAUUUGAAUGAAGAUGGCCUGUGCCAUCUGUGAGCCGGCACAAGGAGGACAAAUGGAUGGUAAAGGCCUUGGUGCUGGGGACAGGUCAUCGCAGACCAGCUGCUAGACAGCUCAGAGCCUCCUCAGGAGAUAACCUGCCAGAUGCAGACCUCAAGAAAGGCUACGGUCCAGGGGUCAUGACAUCUGGCAGGUGUGUGUGGUUCACACGUCUGUAGGAGAGCUUUGCCAACUUCUCCUGGACCCAUACUCCCAGCUUGCAUCAAAAUUUGUCACAGUUCACACCGACGGCCAGGAGGCCCCCCCUAGCUGUUCCCUCUGUCCUGUCCUCAGAAGGGGUGGGGCCUCAGGGAAUCCCCUCUCUGUCAAGUGCUGCAAGUUGGGAGUGGCGGCGGCGCUGUGCUCUCCAGGAAGGUGUGCAGAGUCCUUCUUCAGAACCUGUGAACAUGACCUUAUUUGGAAAUCAGGUGUUUUCAGGCCUAUCAAGGUAAGAUGAGGUCAUGUGCAGGGGUGCGGGGAGCCCCAAUCCAAUAUGACCGGUGUCCUUAGAGGAAGAGGAGAAGAGACACAGAGGCAGACAGGGAGGAGAUGGCCAUGAGGAUGGAGCCAGAGAUGGGAUGAGGCGUCUGUAAACU